rnacentral:tRNA from 1 species
UCGGGUCAUCGGCGGCGGCACGCGUCUGCCGUUCUCCGGCGACGGCGUCACGUUGACCACCCGCGCGCUCCGGGGGAUCGUCACCUACGAACCGGGC